CUCAGAGAGCUCAUGUUGCUCCCUGAUGGACUAUCUCCUUGAUUGUGAAGAAGGUCAGGCUGCUGUUUGCGUGGAAGAUGUUUUCAUGUUUGCAACUGGGCUAACUUCACUUCCCCCGUCUGGAUUGGAACCGCUGCCGAGGAUUGAGUUCCUGGAUGAUUCACCAUUCCCAAUGGCAAACACAUGUUCAAACACAAUGAAAUUACCACUGCUGGAUUCAUACAGUGUGUUUAAAUCACAUAUGGAUUUUGGAAUUCAGAAUUCGCCAGGAUUUGGCUGUUUUUAAAUCAGGUGUGAUUGGGUCCACUAGAUGUGGAUAAAUCACUACAGCUAGAGAACUCGCAUCCAUCUGCACUGGUGGACACACUUUAGCACUGUUAUUAUUUAAUUUUGUAAUAUAACUCUGCUGCAUUUUUUAUAUUUGAGAUUUUGAAGAAACCAUGUUUGAUUAUUGUUUAAGUUACAACUGAAGAUGUUUUAAUGUGUUCUUGUUUAUAUUAUGUUACAUUUGGACUGUUUCAUCAAAUCCUGAGCUCUGAAAGAGAGAUUUCCUGGUAAUAAAGCCAAAUCAAGAGUACUUAAAAUUAAACAUUUAUUUAUUUUA